UAGGCAAUGAGUUUGACUUGAAUGGAGUGGAUCUGGAAAAUGAGCACUUUCAGGAGAUAGUGCUGCAAUCAGCACAGGCGCAGAAUGCAAUUGAUACAGAAGG
rnacentral:ribozyme from 1 species